CUACAGGGAGGGAGUCGUGUAGAACAUAAAUAGGACACCUCUAGAAAAAUAACUUAAUGGGGAUGCAGUCCUGUGCUUCCUGUUUACUGAUCCUUAACUUAGAGAUUUCUGGAACAGGAUUCUGCACUAAUGGGUAGAACUAGGUAGCCAACACCCUUGGCUGUGUGGAUCUUGGCUGAGAUGGUGAGGAGUGCUGCAACCCAAGUGUGAUUCCACCGCCAGCUCCAUCAAUGCUUCAUACUGAGAAUGGCUCCCAUCCACCCCACAGAACCAAGUGUUGCUCACUGGAAUUCACCUUGCUGAAGAGCACGACUUUUCAAGGCUCCUGGACUGCUGCACAAACACAGGCUGCUUGUGUUGUUUUGGCUAACAGCUCAAGUAUCCUAGCAAGUCCUACUUAAUAAGAUACCUGAUAAGGCUUGAUUGUGCUUCACUAUGUUUGAAUUUCUUGGGGAGCUGUUUAGAUGAUGAAAGUGCUCCAGUGCCUGCAUUUGUGUAAAA